GACAGAGGGUGCAAACGUUGCUCGGAAUCACUGGGCGUAAAGGGUGCGUAGGCGGGUCUUUAAGUCAGGGGUGAAAUCCUGGAGCUCAACUCCAGAACUGCCCUUGAUACUGAAGAUCUUGAGUUCGGGAGAGGUGAGUGGAACUGCGAGUGUAGAGGUGAAAUUCGUAGAUAUUCGCAAGAACACCAGUGGCGAAGGCGGCUCACUGGCCCGAUACUGACGCUGAGGCACGAAAGCGUGGGGAGCAAACAGG
rnacentral:rRNA from 1 species